GUGCCCAUUUCCCCAUAGCUUCACCAACAAGCCUUACCAACAGAAUGUAUUCUCAUAUUUGUUUUAUUUUUGCCAAUUCAAUAAAUGAGAAGGGGAUUUCCUUAAUUAUCAGUGAGUUUAAGCAUUUUCUGCAUGUUUAAAAGCCAUUUUGAAACUUUUCCUUUUUUUUUUCAAAUGAAUUAUUUGUUUAUGCCUUUUCCUCAUUUUCAUCUCAGGAUUUUGUCCUUCAAUUUUUAAGGUUUCUUAAUGUAUAAGGAAUAUUAGCCCUUUUUCUCUAGUGUAUGUUACAAAUAUUUUCUCUCAAUAUGUUAGUUGUGCUUUGAUUUUGUUUAUGGUGGUUUUUGUCACACAAAAAAAUGCAGUCAAAUUUAUUAAUCUUUUAAAAAAUUGCCCCUGGAUUUUAAAUCAUAGUUAGAAAGGCUUUUCCUUACCAAGGCUAAAUAAUAAUGUAGCCAUUUAUUUUCUAUACUAUGUGGUUUUAGUUUUUAUAUUUACAUCACUAAUCCACUUGGAGUUUAUACUGCUAUAUGGUAUGUUUUACCCUAGUGAUUUGAGAUGCCACUUUCAUCAUAUACUAAAUUUCCAUAUGUAUUUUGGUCUAAUUCUGGACUAUUCUCUUCCACUGGCUUCUUUAUUUCUCUGUGCUCCAGUACCACUCUGUUUUAAUUAUCCAGGCUUUAUCAAAUGUUUUAAUUUCUGGUAAGCCUAAUCACUACAGCUUUUCUUUUUCAGUGUUUUUCUACCUCAUUCCUACCCAUCUUUUUUUUAUAUGAACUUUAGUAUCAAAAUCUCUAACUCCAGAAAAUAGCCUGUUCAUAUUUUGAUGGAAUUGUAUUACAUUCAUAAAUUAACUUAGGGGGAAGUGGUAUUUUCAUAAAGCUAUAAUUCUAUCCAAGAACCUGGGAAUGUCUUUCCUUUUAUUCAAGUUUUUAUUACUGUCUGUUAGGAGUGUUUUGACAUUUUCCAGGUAUAGGUUUUCAUACCUCAUUAAAUUUAUUCAUAAAUACUUAUAUUUAUUCAUAAAUACAUAUAUUUUGAUGCUAUUUAAAUGGUGUUUUCUCUACCAUUAUGUCCCCUGUUUGUUUAUAUGAAGGCUAUUGAUUUUUAUGUUAAUUUUAUAUCCAUCUUCUUCAGUAAAUUAUUUUAUUGUUUGAGUUAGUUUUAUUAUUGAUUCUCUGGGAUUUUCCACAUAUAUUAUUAUAUCAUCUGCAAAUAUAGUUUUAACACUCAUUUAGUCACUCUUAUGCCUUUCACUGAUUUCUCUUAUCUAAUUGCACUGGCUAAUAUCUCUAACAGCAGCAGAGAUAAUAGAUAUUUAUGUCUUGCUUCUGAUGUUAGUAGAAACAUCCCUAAUGCUUUUCCAUUAAAUAAGAUAAUGACUUUAGGACUAUGAACCCCCAAAAUUUGAGACAAGUCUCAGUUAAUUUAGAAAGUUCAUUUUGCCAAGAUUGAGGAUGUGCACCUGUGACACAGCCUCAGGAAGUCCUGAUGACAUGUACGCGAGGGGGUUGGGGCACAGCUUGGUUUUCUACAUUUUAGGGAGACAUGUGACAUCAAUCAACCAAUAUAUGUAAGAAGUACAUUGGUUCUGUCCAGUGAAGGGAUGGCCUGCCCCUCCACACCUGUGGGUGUUCCUCAUCAGGUAGGAUGAGAGACUGAGAAAAGAAAGAGACACAGAGACAAAGAAUAGAGAAAGAAAAGUGGGCCUAGGGGACUGGCGCUCAGCUUACAGAGGCACUCAGCUUACAGUUUACGGAGGACGACGACCGGCAGGCACUGGUCUCUGAGUUCCCUCAGUAUUUAUUGAUCAUUAUCUCUACCAUCUCGGAGAGGAGGAUGUGGCAGGACAAUAGGGCAAUAGUGGGGAGAGGGUCAGCAGGAAACAUGUGAACAAAGAUCUCUGUGUCAUAAAUAAGUUUAAGGAAAGGUGCUUUGCCUUGAUGUGCAUGUAUACAAACACCUUGGUGCAUUAAAGAGCAAUAUUGCUGCUAGCACGGCUCACCUCCAGCCCUAAGGCAGUUUUCUCCUAUCUCAGUAAACAGAACAUACAAUCGGGUUUUACACCGAGACAUCAUUGCCCAGGGACGAGCAGGAGACAGAUGCCUUCCUCUUAUCUCAACUGCAAAGAGGCCUUCCUCUUUCACUAAUCCUCCUCAGCACAGACCCUUUACGGGUGUCGGGCUGGGGGACGGUCAGGUCUUUCCCUUCCCAGGCCUUUCCCUUCCCACGAGGCCAUAUCUCAGGCUAUCACAUGGGGAGAAACCUUGGACAAUACCUGGCUUUCCUAGGCAGAGGUCCCUGCAGCCUUCUGCAGUGUAUUGUGUCCCUGGGUACUUGAGAUUAGAGAAUAGUGAUGACUUUUAACAAGCAUACUGCCCUCAACACUUUUUUAACAAAGCACAUCCUGCAUAGCCCUAAAUCCAUUAAACCUGGAGUCAACACAGCACAUGUCUCUGCGAGCACAGGGUUGGGGCCAGGGUUACAGAUUAACAGCAUCUCAAGGCAGAAGAAUUUUUCUUAGUACAGAACAAAAUGGAGUCUCUUAUGUCUACUUCUUCCUACAUAGACACAGUAACAGUCUGAUCUCUCUUUCUUUUCCCCACACAGUGUUCAUUGUAGGCCUGAGAGAGAGAGAGAGAGAGAGAAAAGGAUAAUUAAAGACAGUCUCAUGAGAUCUGCUGGAGGUUCAGGGAGGUCCCAGACCACCCUGGGCUUUCCCUGUAGGCCAAUCCUUCAUGUUCCAGUUAUUGAAUGCCCAUUCUACUGUAGGAACAGAUCAUAGUUAUUAGAGUUCAGAAAAUAAAUUUUCCCUGUUAUUUAUUCUGGAAUUUGUCUUAUCCUUUUAAUAUUCUACAAGUCUCCCACCAGUCUACUAAAGAAUAUCACUUCCCUAAGGAACAGAAUGGUCUGCUUCUGAUACUAAAAGUAAGAUGUUUGUUUUUGAAGCAACAUAAAUUCAAAUAGGGAUAACAACUCUUUCUUUGUGGAAAAUCAAAGCAUCUUUAUAUUUACUUGAGUAAACAGAAAAAAUAUCUCAAUUGAAAUGAUUUCCCACCUGCCAAACAAAACAGUUUUCUUUUGUAAGUCCUAUUCCAUAUAUGCGGGUGGUCAAAGCACAAGGCUGCACAAAGGGAAUAGUAAUGAAUUCGGCUAGUGCAAGCCACUGUGCCCGCCGACAGCUCACUCGCUCCAUCCUGCAACCUGGACUGACAGGCUCAGCUGCUUACUAAGUGUCAGUUCUCUUCUCAAAGAGCCAUGUUUUUCCUGGGAGUUAAUUUGUGGGUGUUUCAUGUUGGUUAAAUUGGGCCUAAAGUCAAAGCAAAACUUUGGAGAAGCUGUGAUGCAUCCCAGGUUAAACCAGAACUAUUUAUUGCAGCUUCCCUUUUUGGCCACGUAGUUCUUGUCCUACAGAGUGGCAGGGAUUUUCCAGUUCAAGUGUCUGCUUGUAUCUUGGGAGGUGGGUCAUGAGGACCUCUAGCCUUCUUUUUUUCCUGUGGCUCUCUUUGGAGGUCUGGCCAAACUGACCCACCAAUACUCCUCAGGACCAGCCACAGGCAGAACACUGCAGGACAUGAAGUUUGCCUUUUACAGCCCCAUACCUGUACUAUUUUCACCUUUCCCAAUUCCUAGGACUUCCCAGACCUACCCAGGGGCUUCUGGCUAUGGUGCCUGGCUCCUUCGCUAUGACACUAAACCUAGGCCUGCCUUGAUUUAAAAAAAUAUAGCAACAUUCACCACCACAAUUACCAUUUAUUGGCCCUUCAUUAUGUACCUAACAUUAUGUUGCACAUUGUAUUCAUAUUUUUCUCCAUCACUGUGUGAGCUCAACAGCUAUAAGAAGUGGCUAUACAUGCAGUGAAUACCUUUGGUGCCCUCUCUGUCUCCUUGCCUACUCCAGGAGGUCUCGUGCAGGCCAGAUGGCGUGACAGCUGUGUCCCUUUGCCUGAGAGGGUGCCCUCGCCUCCUGAGAAGAUGGUAAAUUGAGGGCUAAGCUAGAGGUGCUCAGUCCAGGAGUGAUCCUCAACCUUUGAGGGGUAGGGAUUUCUGGGAAAAUUUCUUGACUUCCUAUUCCCCAUGGUGGGACAAUUCUGGGGUAGGUUCCCAGGUCUCCCAGAGGGUCUUCAAAAAGAUUGACAGCAGUGGCCUAGUGGUAACCUCAUGGCAGCCACUUUAUUGGUUUGUCUCCUGUCCCUCCUGUCUCACUUACCAUUCCCUCUCAUUGCUCUCUGGGAUUUCUGCCCAAGUGUGUUCUCAAUCCUUGUGUCAUGAUUUGUCCCUUGAAGGAAUCUCCACCAAGAUACUGCACAAUUGUCCUCCCAGAACAGGAGAGAAAGAGAGCUUUGGGAGGCUGACAUGCAUGAGGACGUGUAGCUGGUGAGUGGCCAGCAGGACUUGAAUCAGCACCAUCACUUAUGUUUCCAUCAGAAUCAGUGUGGGCAUAUUUUUCUAGUUAGUUAAUCAAAUUAAUUAAUGUGUAGCUUUUUUGAAAAUGAUUUAAGCCUUUAGAACAUAUCCUAAUACUUCCUUCUUCCAUCAAAUCUAUUUGUCCUGUGUCACAUUCCAUUGAGACUCAGGAUUUAACCAGCAAUAUAAUUAGAUACAAAUAUAACAAAUUAAUCAAUAUUGCAAUGCUAUAGCUGAAAGUGACGAAAGGUAGUAUGCCUCUAGCGCUAUUCAUACUUUACACUAGACUUUUCCAAUUGCAAUGCCUUAAUUUAAAGGAAGAACUCUGUUAGUAGAAUUUCAGGCAUCUAAGUAGUCAAGGAAACCCCCUCUCCAUGCUGUUCAAUGGACUUUUCCUGAGCCCCUUACACAUCUUUCCAUUUGCUAACUCUACCUGCUGAUACUGAUGCUUUAUCUAAUCAUCAAUGGGAUUCCUCUUGAAAUGGAAGGCAAAGUUCAACCCUGAAUGUGUGCUGGCCUGGCUCCUUCGCAGUGACAAAAACAUGCAACUGUCUCUUCUUUACCUUUCUGGCUUAUCAGGGAACAUGGAGGAACUGUUUACGUGCCUUUGUUUCCCAGCCUGUGAAAGGAAGAUAACACUUGCUCCAACAUGCUUUUCAGCGAGUGAUGUGAAGAUAAAUGUGAUAACGUCUACAAAGUCCUCCAAAUUCUCGGGAUGAAAUGUGCUAUGUAAAUGGAACACAGCCCUGUUAUGAUUGAAGUUUAAUGCAGCCGUUCUCAGGCCUAUACAGGGAAUGCAGUCUGGCUGGAAGCACUUUCCCUGAAUGUCACGUGUGAGUGCAGUAAAGGUGUUGGCUGAAGGGGGAUGGAAACAAACGUUAAUUACACCUUCAAGAUUUCUCCAGUCAGAGUUUGGUCCUUCCUCUGUGUGUUUCUCAUCAUGAACCAAGAUGAGGCAGAACGACAGCACAGGGGUGGUUUCCAUUUCAAGCUAGCUGUUUUCUGCAUCCUCCCACCUCCCUCAAGAGUUGCAUGCUUGAUUGAAUUAACUAAUACCAGUUGUGCUUUACAUAUUUGAGUUAAAAUAUAUGUGUUACAUGUCAACAUUGUGCUAAAAUGUAUUAUUGAAAUUUUAUUAACAAGCAUUGCUUUAAUUUAGUACUGAAGAAAGUCUAUGUUUAUUGGACAGCAAUUUUAUACCUGUGUAUGAAUACCUGAGUAUGUAGAAGAAUCAGAUAUGUGAUUAGCUAAACUUCCAAAGUUGAUAGAAACUAGGUGAUUAUUUAAAUUGCACAAAACCCUGUAUUUUACUUAAAUUUCUAUAAAAGUAAUAAUGUCUUACAUUUGCUUAGUGAGAAAUGCUUUGCAGAUGCCUUUGACAUAUAUUAUCUCCCUUGUUCCUCUCAAAAUUCUUAUGAACUAAGGAGAGAGUGACUAUUGUCUGUAUGUUUUAUGGAUAAGAAAAAGAGAAAGCAUCCUUAGCACAUUUGAAAUGUAUUACCUUUACAAAAAGGUAACUCAUGAUUACCUCUUUAGAAAGCACAAUUCCAUGUGGAAAGUAUGCCUACCUCUGUUUACUCUAUGCAUGUAUAGUUAGUGUCCUGGUUAUCUCUUGCUAUGUAACAGAUUAUCCUAAAACUUACUGGCUUAAAACAUC